rnacentral:rRNA from 1 species
GGACCAAUACUGACGCUGAGGUACGAAAGCGUGGGUAGCAAACAGGAUUAGAUACCCUGGUAGUCCACGCCGUAAACGAUGAUAACUAGCCGUUGGGGGGAUUUACCCCUUAGUGGCGAAGCUAACGCGUUAAGUUAUCCGCCUGGGGAGUACGGCCGCAAGGUUAAAACUCAAAGGAAUUGACGGGGACCCGCACAAGCGGUGGAGCAUGUGGUUUAAUUCGAUGCAACGCGAAGAACCUUACCUGGUCUUGACAUCCUGAGAACUUUCUAGAAAUAGAUUGGUGCCUUCGGGAACUCAGUGACAGGUGCUGCAUGGCUGUCGUCAGCUCGUGUCGUGAGAUGUUGGGUUAAGUCCCGUAACGAGCGCAACCCCUAUCCUUAUUUGCCAGCACAUCAUGGUGGGAACUAUAAGGAGACUGCCGGUGAUAAACCGGAGGAAGGCGGGGACGACGUCAAGUCAUCAUGGCCCUUACGACCAGGGCUACACACGUGCUACAAUGGGAAGGACAAAGAGCCGCGAAGCCGUGAGGUGUAGCUAAUCUCAGAAACCUUUUCGUAGUCCGGAUUGGAGUCUGCAACUCGACUCCAUGAAGUCGGAAUCGCUAGUAAUCGUAGAUCAGAAUGCUACGGUGAAUACGUUCCCGGGUCUUGUACACACCGCCCGUCAUACCAUGGGAGUGGGUUGCACCAGAAGUGGCUAGUCUAACUUUAUUGAGGACGGUCACCACGGUGUGAUUCAUGACUGGGGUAAAGUCGUAACAAGGUAGCCGUA